CGAGUGAAGCGGCAACAGCUCAAAUUUGAAAUCUGGCCUCGGCCCGAGUUGUAAUUUGCAGAGGAUGCUUUUGGUGCGGUGCCUUCCGAGUUCCCUGGAACGGGACGCCACAGAGGGUGAGAGCCCCGUAUGGUCGGACACCAAUCCUGUGUAAAGCUCCUUCGACGAGUCGAGUAGUUUGGGAAUGCUGCUCUAAAUGGGAGGUAAAUCUCUUCUAAAGCUAAAUACCGGCCAGAGACCGAUAGCGCACAAGUAGAGUGAUCGAAAGAUGAAAAGCACCUUGAAAAGGGGGUUAAACAGUACGUGAAAUUGUUGAAAGGGAAGCACUUGUGACCAGACUUGGGCCGGGCGGCUCAUCAGGGGUUCUCCCCUGUGCAUUCCGCCCGGUACAGGCCAGCAUCGGUUCUUACCGGGGGAUAAGAACGGCAGGAACGUGGCUCCCUCUCGGGGGAGUGUUAUAGCCUGCCGUACGAUACCCUGGCGGGGACCGAGGUUCGCGCUUCCGCAAGGAUGCUGGCGUAAUGGUUACUAGUGACCCGUCUUGAAACACGGACCAAGGAGUCGUCCAUUAGAGCGAGCGUUUGGGUGUAAAACCCGCACGCGUAAUGAAAGUGAAAUUAGGUGAGAGCUUCGGCGCAUCAUCGACCGAUCCUGAUGUUCUCGGAUGGAUUUGAGUAAGAGUUUUAACGGACGGACCCGAAAGACAGUGAACUAUGCUUGUAUAGGGUGAAGCCAGAGGAAACUCUGGUGGAGGCUCGCAGCGGUUCUGACGUGCAAAU
rnacentral:rRNA from 1 species